UACAGAGGUGGCAAGCGUUGUUCGGAAUUACUGGGCGUAAAGGGCGCGUAGGCGGUCUUGUAAGUCUUGUGUGAAAUCCCUCGGCUUAACUGAGGAACUGCACGGGAUACUGCGAGACUUGAGUUCGGGAGAGGGAAGCGGAAUUCCGGGUGUAGCGGUGAAAUGCGUAGAUAUCCGGAGGAACACCGGUGGCGAAGGCGGCUUCCUGGACCGACACUGACGCUGAGGCGCGAAAGCGUGGGGAGCAAACAGG
rnacentral:rRNA from 1 species